rnacentral:sRNA from 1 species
ACAAAUGUUAAUUUUUCAACUGAUCAGAUUUAGUAAAUUGUUGCACAUGUAACCUAUUUAUUUCAACAGAUAAGGCAGCAUUGUAAUACCACCAUGCAUUGAUGCAAGUUCAUUUACCAUAAUACCAUAUAACUCACAAUUUAGUAAAAUAUAUUAUGAAUGUAUGUACCGGGUAUAUAAACUAUCAGUAUUUGCUUUCACGUAGAUCUUUCAAACUACCAAAAAAGUUGAAUUUAGAAAGUAUGUGCUAUGUAUACUGGUAUAUUGUGUGCCAUUGUUGCAUUUAUUGUGUGCUUCUGAGAGUUUUUUUUUUAUAUAUUUCUUUUCUUCCAAUCAUUUGAAAUGCAUAUACUGGUCAAAACUUAUCGAUCAGACAUCAGUUCUGAAGAUGCAUGUUUUGUCGACAUAUCAUUGUUUGUAUUCCUUGAUAAUCACUGUCAAAUUAUAAUUAAUGCAUCCACAUUCUUUGUUUUUAAACAAAUAUCAAAUGCAUUUUUAAUUUUAUAUUGAAUGAUUACAUUAUUAUAAAAUACUUUAAUAAACUAGAACAUUUCAUGAACUAGAAAAACCCUAUGCCAUUCCAUGUUAUUCAAGGUCGCAUCCAGAAGAUUGUCUAUAAGUACUAAAUACACCUCUUUGUCUUAUUUUUUUAAGUUUAAUUGGUUGUAUGUCUACUGUUUGUUCAUUAAAACCUUUUCUUUACAUAAUUACAAUUGCUGUUAAAGAUAAUUACACCAAUUUAAAAUUUUUGGUGAAUAAAACUUCAUGUUUUUCUCC